CACCCGACGGGGCAGGCGCAAGGCGCCGGCCGGAAUUGGAACAGGGGCUGGCCACGUGCCCGCCGGGGAAGCAAAGGGCCGAAUGUCGGGGGACGUUCGGCCCUUUUUUU
rnacentral:antisense_RNA from 1 species